rnacentral:rRNA from 1 species
AAUCAACGCUGGCGGCGUGCCUAAUACAUGCAAGUCGAACGCGAAAGUGGAGCAAUCCAUGAGUAGAGUGGCAAACGGGUGAGUAACACGUGGGUGACCUGCCUUCGAGUGGGGGAUAACGUCCCGAAAGGGACGCUAAUACCGCAUAACAUGCUGUCUUUUAAGAGAUGGACAUCAGAGCCGGGAUCGCAAGACCUGGCGCUUGAAGAGGGGCCCGCGCCNGAUUAGCUAGUUGGUGAGGUAACGGCUCACCAAGGCCACGAUCAGUAUCCGGCCUGAGAGGGCGGACGGGACACACUGGGACUGAGACACGGCCCAGACUCCUACGGGAGGCAGCAGUAGGGAAUUGUUCGCAAUGGGCGCAAGCCUGACGACG